rnacentral:ncRNA from 4 species
AGCAGGACGGUGGUCAUGGAAGU